GAUGAACGCUGGCGGCGUGCCUAAUACAUGCAAGUCGAGCGAACAGAUGAGGAGCUUGCUCCUCUGACGUUAGCGGCGGACGGGUGAGUAACACGUGGAUAACCUACCUAUAAGACUGGGAUAACUUCGGGAAACCGGAGCUAAUACCGGAUAAUAUAUUGAACCGCAUGGUUCAAUAGUGAAAGACGGUUUUGCUGUCACUUAUAGAUGGAUCCGCGCCGCAUUAGCUAGUUGGUAAGGUAACGGCUUACCAAGGCAACGAUGCGUAGCCGACCUGAGAGGGUGAUCGGCCACACUGGAACUGAGACACGGUCCAGACUCCUACGGGAGGCAGCAGUAGGGAAUCUUCCGCAAAGGGCGAAAGCCUGACGGAGCUACGCCGCGUGAGUGAUGAAGGUCUUCGGAUCGUAAAACUCUGUUAUUAGGGAAGAACAAAUGUGUAAGUAACUAUGCACGUCUUGACGGUACCUAAUCAGAAAGCCACGGCUAACUACGUG
rnacentral:rRNA from 1 species